GCGGCUCCUAGCUGCUGUUUGUACAGUAUAUAAAGCCAGUGUUGGCCCCAUCAAUAGGGGACUGGAGUGUUGAUGAAACGCUGGGAGAAAGGCCUCCUCUGUGACUGCCAGGGAGAGUUCAUGUUCAUUACAGGGUAUCUCGGGGCUCUACAGCCUGCUAGAUGGCACCUGGCUCCACCCUGGGUGAGAAGACAACACGUAUCCUCUUAUUAGGGUGGUAAACAGCAUGCUAUAGAAUACUGGGAUGUUAGACUUUAGAAUGCUGGGAUGUUAGACUUUAGAAUACUACGAUGUUAGACUUUAGAAUACGGGGAUGUUAGACUUUAGAAUGCUGGGAUGUUAGACUUUAGAAUGCUGGGAUGUUAGACUUUAGAAUACUACGAUGUUAGACUUUAGAAUACUGGGAUGUUAGACUUUAGAAUGCUGGGAUGUUAGACUUUAGAAUGCUGGGAUGUUAGACUUUAGAAUACUGGGAUGUUAGACUUUAGAAUGCUGGGAUGUUAGACUUUAGAAUGCUGGAAUGUUAGACUUUAGAAUACUGGGAUGUUAGACUUUAGAAUGCUGGGAUGUUAGACUUUAGAAUGCUGGGAUGUUAGACUUUAGAAUACUGGGAUGUUAGACUUUAGAAUGCUGGGAUGUUAGACUUUAGAAUACUGGGAUGUUAGACUUUAGAAUGCUGGGAUGUUAGACUUUAGAAUGCUGGAAUGUUAGACUUUAGAAUACUGGGAUGUUAGACUUUAGAAUGCUGGGAUGUUAGACUUUAGAAUGCUGGGAUGUUAGACUUUAGAAUACUGGGAUGUUAGACUUUAGAAUACUACGAUGUUAGACUUUAGAAUACUGGGAUGUUAGACUUUAGAAUGCUGGGAUGUUAGACUUUAGAAUGCUGGGAUGUUAGACUUUAGAAUACUACGAUGUUAGACUUUAGAAUGCUGGGAUGUUAGACUUGGAAUUACAAGUGCUGCAUCAGAUCAAGAAACUCACAUACAAGACUUAAGACUUCAAUAAAGGCACUGUAGGGAAUCUAAAAAGACCCUUUCAUUCAAUGAAAUACAGUAUUGACAAUACAAUUAAGUUCAGUAUUAGUAGUCAAAAAGCUUUACUGCCCCCUGCUGGAAACUACAGCACUCUGUGUUAGGAAUGGGUUCAUCUUGGAAAACUCAGAACAAAGAUUGUGUCAGAUACUCGAUUUAUGUAACAUAGUCUGUCCACAAAAGAUCAGGAAUGUGCAAAUGGGACUUUGAGUUUAGAAUUAGCAACCGUUCUAGAACUGGAAACCGUGACAGAACAAACAGCAGAUGUUCCUGUGACCUGACUUGUUGUGUCAUAAAAGGCACAGGAGAGUAAACAUUAUAGCUAUCAGUUUGUCCGCAUGUCGGUCCGCCUGUCCGUCUGUCCGUCUGUCUGUCCGCCUGUCUAUCUGUCCACCCAUCCACCCGUCUGUCUGUCCACCCAUGGUUAGGGAGACAGGGUUGUUUGUGUCAUAAAAGGCACAGGAGAGUAAAUAUUAUAGCUAUCAGUUUGUCCGCAUGUCGGUCCGCCUGUCCGUCUGUCCGUCCGCCUGUCCGUCUGUCUGUCCGCCUGUCCGCCUGUCUAUCUGUCCACCCAUCCACCUGUCUGUCUGUCCACCCAUGGUUAGGGAGACAGGGUUGUUUGUGUCAUAAAAGGCACAGGAGAGUAAACAUUAUAGCUAUCAGUUUGUCCGCAUGUCGGUCCGCCUGUCCGUCUGUCGGUCCGCCUGUCCGUCUGUCUGUCCGCCUGUCUAUCUGUCCACCCAUCCACCCGUCUGUCUGUCCACCCAUGGUUAGGGAGACAGGGUUGUUUGUGUCAUAAAAGGCACAGGAGAGUAAAUAUUAUAGCUAUCAGUUUGUCCGCAUGUCGGUCCGCCUGUCCAUCUGUCCGUCCGCCUGUCCGUCUGUCUGUCCGCCUGUCUAUCUGUCCACCCAUCCACCCGUCUGUCUGUCCACCCAUGGUUAGGGAGACAGGGUUGUUUGUGUCAUAAAAGGCACAGGAGAGUAAAUAUUAUAGCUAUCAGUUUGUCCGCAUGUCGGUCCGCCUGUCCAUCUGUCCGUCCGCCUGUCCGUCUGUCUGUCCGCCUGUCCGCCUGUCUAUCUGUCCACCCAUCCACCCGUCUGUCUGUCCACCCAUGGUUAGGGAGACAGGGUUGUUUGUGUCAUAAAAGGCACAGGAGAGUAAACAUUAUAGCUAUCAGUUUGUCCGCAUGUCGGUCCGCCUGUCCGUCUGUCUGUCCGCCUGUCCGUCUGUCUGUCCGCCUGUCCGCCUGUCUAUCUGUCCACCCAUCCACCCGUCUGUCUGUCCACCCAUGGUUAUGGAGCCAGUGUUGUUUGUGUCAGCUGACCCAGUUAUUGUCUAUCUGCCUUUCCAUCUAGCAGACUGUGGGGAAGUGGGUGUCUAUUGUUGAGAGUUCAGGCCGUCCUUCCUGGUAGCUAAUACUGAAUACAUUGUUACACAGUGCCUGGAUAAAGGUCUCUGUGCCGGUCAAUGUUGUAGACUUCUAUGUCUUCAGUAUUCCGGAUCAGAGAACUGAUGCUUCAGGAUCAACUUGAUCAUACUCUGCAUGACAAUAACACAUGGACCUCAGUGACCCCCAUCCCUGUUACUGAGGUUCUGCGUUACUGCGUGUGUGCACUGCAUGAUGGAACAAAAACAUCCCUGCCGGCCAAACCCUCCCUUAACCCUGAUGACGCUGGGCUAACUGUUCCCCACCGGCUACGACAGAGCCUGGACUCAAACCAGGAUCUCUAGUGACACAGCAAGCACUGUGGUGCAGUGCCUUAGAUCACUGCACCCCCUGGAGGCGCCUGGGUUCAUACCCUCUGGUUAACAAAACCCACUGGGUGUUGGUCGACAGACUGACCUUAUAAUCUAGCCACAUACCCAGCAAAUAGACUUGUAACAGUCCCCAUUAUUGUCUUUUUUUACAGUCAGUAUGUUAUGUUGACCCCUGAGUUUAGGUUGUUUUUACAGUCAGUAUGUUACGUUGACCCUUGAGUUCAGGUUGUUUUUAUAGUCAGUAUGUUAUGUUGAUCCCUGAGUUCAGGUUGUUUUUACAGUCUGUAUGUUAUGUUGACCCCUGAGUUCAGGUUGUUUUUACAGUCAGUAUGUUAUGUUGACCCUUGAGUUCAGGUUGUUUUUAUAGUCAGUAUGUUAUGUUGGCCCCUGAGUUCAGGUUGUUUUUACAGUCUGUAUGUUAUGUUGACCCCUGAGUUCAGGUUGUUUUUAUAGUCAGUAUGUUAUGUUGGCCCCUGAGUUCAGGUUGUUUUUACAGUCUGUAUGUUAUGUUGACCCCUGAGUUCAGGUUGUUUUUAUAGUCAGUAUGUUAUGUUGACCCCUGAGUUCAGGUUGUUUUUAUAGUCAGUAUGUUAUGUUGACCCCUGAGUUCAGGUUGUUUUUACAGUCAGUAUGUUGUGUUGACACUUCAGUUCAAGUUUUGUUUUAGAAUAGGUUAAUUUCAGAAACUCAGAACUAAAAUGUUACUUAUUUGCUCCAGAUACUCAUUUUAAAUGAUGUAGUUUGUCCACACGAGAUUAGGAGUCUUUUUAGAUUAAGCAAUAGUGGUGGAACUGUGAACCCAGACAGCAGAGCAGGACAGUGGGAGGAGCUAUAGGAGGACGGCCUCAUUGUACUGGCUGAUCUGUUGUACCAUGAAGGCAGAGGAGAGCAAACAUUAGAUCAUAUAAAGACUGGAACUAUCCUUAGCAUUACUGAAACAUCAACAGGCAGAGUGAGACAGAUAUGAUGCUGGCUGUGUGUGUCACUGUUGUCCUGGGCCUUCUCUCAGUGAGUGGCUCCCAGGUGGCCCCUUUAACCUGUGAGGAUCUCCUGAGACCACUGGAGCUGAGCAGUGUCACUCAGACUCUGGGGAAGUGGGUGUAUAUUGCUGAGAGUUCAGACCGUCCUUUCUGGGAACAAAUACUGUAUACCUUAUUACACAGUGCCUGGAUAGAGGUCUCUGUGCCGGUCGGUACCCAGAACAACAUUCUUGACAUCGCCCAGUUCUAUGGCUUCGGAAUUCCACAUCAAAAUACUUUUGGAUUCGGAUGCUCCAGGAUCAACUCUAACUUUACUCUGCAUGACAAUAGCACAUGGACCUCAGCGACCCCCAGCCCUGUUACUGAGGUUCUCCUGACAACGUGCUCAGACUGUCUCCUGACCCUGGAGAGAUGGGAUGAGGAUGAGAAGACCUUCACCUCUCUAACACUCUACAGUAGGAGACGGGAGCUCACUGCUACUGAACUGGACUUCUAUAAGAAACAGGUGGAUUGUCUCAGUCUGCCACCAGCGACGUUCAUCGAUCCAAGGAAAGAGCUCUGUCGCGACACAACUCCACUCUUAGAAGAUCAAAUUGCGAAGGAUGUUGAGAAUGCAGUUGAACUUAUUUCAGAGAUUCCAAGAAUGCUCAGAAAUGCAUUUGAACAAUUAAAGAAUUCUGUUUAUCAGGCAUUUUCUGACAUUUUCUGGUAAUGAUUAAUCCUCAUUCCCUGAUUGGUUUGCUGCCCACCAUGUGGGCAACAGUAACCCAGGGUUACAGUACCUAACCCAGCAAGCCUGUAAACAGUCCCUGAUGCCUUGAUGUGGGACCAAACUCCACUCUGCUCAAUGUUGCUCUACAUUCAACACAAUAAAUCCAGAUUACAGUUUU